rnacentral:misc_RNA from 1 species
GAUGAAGAACGUAGCGAAAUGCGAUAAGUAAUGUGAAUUGCAGAAUUCAGUGAAUCAUCGAAUCUUUGAACGCACCUUGCGCCCUUUGGACAUUCCGAAGGGCAUGCCUGUUUGAGUAUCAUGAACACCUCAACUCUCACGGCUUGUCCGUGAUGAGCUUGGACUUUGGGGGUCUUGCCGGCCUGUGGUCGUCUCCUCUCAAAUGGAUCAGCUUGCCAGUGUUUGGUGGCAUCACAGGUGUGAUAACUAUCUGCGCUUGUGGUUUUCCAUCAGAUAACCUUCAGUGAUAUGGAGGUUCGCUGGAGCUCACAAAUGUCUCUCCUUAGUGAGGACAGCUCUUUGAACGUUUGAUCUCAAAUCAGGUAGGACUACCCGCUGAACUUAAGCAUAUCAAUAAGCGGAGGA